rnacentral:misc_RNA from 1 species
GAUGAAGAACGUAGCGAAAUGCGAUAAGUAAUGUGAAUUGCAGAAUUCAGUGAAUCAUCGAAUCUUUGAACGCACAUUGCGCCCGCCAGUAUUCUGGCGGGCAUGCCUGUUCGAGCGUCAUAUCAACCCUCAAGACCCCUUCGGGGGACUUGGUGUUGGGGACCGGCACAGGGGCCUGCCUGCUUGUCUUGCAGCGCCCUCGCCGCCCCCGAAAUGAAUUGGCGGCCUCGUCGCGGCCUCCCCUGCGUAGUAGCACAAACCUCGCAACGGGAACGUGACGGCGGCCACUGCCGUAAAACAACCCAAUUUUAUUAGAGUUGACCUCGAAUCAGGUAGGAAUACCCGCUGAACUUAAGCAUAUCAAUAAGCGGAGGA